rnacentral:rRNA from 1 species
GACGAACGCUGGCGGCGUGCUUAACACAUGCAAGUCGAACGGAAAGGCCCUGCUUUUGUGGGGUGCUCGAGUGGCGAGCGGGUGAGUAACACGUGAGUAACCUGCCCUUGACUUUGGUAUAACUUCAGGAAACUGGGGCUAAUACCGGAUAGGAGCUCCUGCUGCAUGGUGGGGGUUGGAAAGUUUCGGCGGUUGGGGAUGGACUCGCGGCUUAUCAGUUUGUUGGUGGGGUAGUGGCUUACCAAGGCUUUGACGGGUAGCCGACCUGAGAGGGUGACCGGCCACAUUAGGACUAAGAUACGGCCCAGACUCCUACGGUAGACAGCAGUGGGAAAUAUUGCACAAUGAGCGGAAGCCUGAUACAGCAACGCCGCGUUCGUAAUGACGGCCUUCGGGUUGUAAACCGCUUUCGCCUGUUACGAAGCGUGAGUGACGGUAAUGAAUAAAGAAGCACCGGCUAACUACAUG